GAGUGGCGAACUGGUGAGUAACACGUGGGAAACCUGCCCAGAAGCGGGGGAUAACACCUGGAAACAGAUGCUAAUACCGCAUAACAACUUGGACCGCAUGGUCCGAGUUUGAAAGAUGGCUUCGGCUAUCACUUUUGGAUGGUCCCGCGGCGUAUUAGCUAGAUGGUGAGGUAACGGCUCACCAUGGCAAUGAUACGUAGCCGACCUGAGAGGGUAAUCGGCCACAUUGGGACUGAGACACGGCCCAAACUCCUACGGGAGGCAGCAGUAGGGAAUCUUCCACAAUGGACGAAAGUCUGAUGGAGCAACGCCGCGUGAGUGAAGAAGGGUUUCGGCUCGUAAAACUCUGUUGUUAAAGAAGAACAUAUCUGAGAGUAACUGUUCAGGUAUUGACGGUAUUUAACCAGAAAGCCACGGCUAACUACGUGCCAGCAGCCGCGGUAAUACGUAGGUGGCAAGCGUUGUCCGGAUUUAUUGGGCGUAAAGCGAGCGCAGGCGGUUUUUUAAGUCUGAUGUGAAAGCCUUCGGCUCAACCGAAGAAGUGCAUCGGAAACUGGGAAACUUGAGUGCAGAAGAGGACAGUGGAACUCCAUGUGUAGCGGUGAAAUGCGUAGAUAUAUGGAAGA
rnacentral:rRNA from 1 species